rnacentral:rRNA from 1 species
UUCGGGUCGUAAAACUCUGUUAUUGAAGAAGAACGUGUGUGACAGUAACUGGUCAUGCAGUGACGGUAUUCAAUCAGAAAGUCACGGCUAACUACGUGCCAGCAGCCGCGGUAAUACGUAGGUGGCAAGCGUUGUCCGGAUUUAUUGGGCGUAAAGCGAGCGCAGGCGGUUUCUUAAGUCUGAUGUGAAAGCCUUCGGCUCAACCGAAGAAGUGCAUCGGAAACUGGGAAACUUGAGUGCAGAAGAGGACAGUGGAACUCCAUGUGUAGCGGUGAAAUGCGUAGAUAUAUGGAAGAACACCAGUGGCGAAGGCGGCUGUCUGGUCUGUAACUGACGCUGAGGCUCGAAAGCAUGGGUAGCAAACAGGAUUAGAUACCCUGGUAGUCCAUGCCGUAAACGAUGAGUGCUAGGUGUUGGAGGGUUUCCGCCCUUCAGUGCCGCAGCUAACGCAUUAAGCACUCCGCCUGGGGAGUACGACCGCAAGGUUGAAACUCAGAGGAAUUGACGGGGGCCCGCACAAGCGGUGGAGCAUGUGGUUUAAUUCGAAGCAACGCGAAGAACCUUACCAGGUCUUGACAUCCUUUGACCACUCUAGAGAUAGAGCUUUCCCUUCGGGGACAAAGUGACAGGUGGUGCAUGGUUGUCGUCAGCUCGUGUCGUGAGAUGUUGGGUUAAGUCCCGCAACGAGCGCAACCCUUAUUGUCAGUUGCCAGCAUUUAGUUGGGCACUCUGGCGAGACUGCCGGUGACAAACCGGAGGAAGGUGGGGAUGACGUCAAAUCAUCAUGCCCCUUAUGACCUGGGCUACACACGUGCUACAAUGGACGGUACAACGAGUCGCGAAACCGCGAGGUCAAGCUAAUCUCUUAAAGCCGUUCUCAGUUCGGAUUGCAGGCUGCAACUCGCCUGCAUGAAGUUGGAAUCGCUAGUAAUCGUGGAUCAGCAUGCCACGGUGAAUACGUUCCCGGGCCUUGUACACACCGCCCGUCACACCAUGAGAGUUUGUAACACCCAAAGCCGGUGAGGUAACCUUCGGGAACCAGCCGUCUAAGGUGGGACAGAUGAUUAGGGUGAAGUCGUAACAAGGUAGCCGUAGGAGAACCUGCGGCUGGAUCACCUCCUUUCUAA